GGCUGGUCCAACGGUAGUGGGUUAUCAGAACUUUAAAAUUAGUGUCACUAAAGUUGGUAUACAACUACCACUGCUAAAUUUGACUGGCUUUAC
rnacentral:Y_RNA from 1 species